rnacentral:rRNA from 1 species
UGGGGAAUAUAGGACAAUGGGCGAAAGCCUGAUCCAGCCAUGCCGCGUGUGUGAAGAAGGUCUUCGGAUUGUAAAGCACUUUAAGUUGGGAGGAAGGGCAGUAAGCGAAUACCUUGCUGUUUUGACGUUACCGACAGAAUAAGCACCGGCUAACUCUGUGCCAGCAGCCGCGGGAAUACAGAGGGUGCAAGCGUUAAUCGGAAUUACUGGGCGUAAAGCGCGCGUAGGUGGUUCGUUAAGUUGAAUGUGAAAGCCCCGGGCUCAACCUGGGAACUGCAUCCCAAACUGGCGAGCUAGAGUAGGGCAGAGGGUGGUGGAAUUUCCUGUGUAGCGGUGAAAUGCGUAGAUAUCGGACGGAACACCAGUGGCGUAGGCGACCACCUGGGCUCAUACUGACACUGAGGUGCGAAAGCGUGGGGAGCAAACAGG